rnacentral:piRNA from 1 species
UCAGGUUUAUAAAAGUAUUUAUUUCGUUAC